rnacentral:rRNA from 2 species
UGAGGAAUAUUGGUCAAUGGGCGAGAGCCUGAACCAGCCAUCCCGCGUGCAGGAAGACGGCCCUAUGGGUUGUAAACUGCUUUUGCGCAUGAAGAAUGUUACCGACGUGUCGGUAAGUGACGGUAAUGCGUGAAUAAGCAUCGGCUAACUCCGUGCCAGCAGCCGCGGUAAUACGGAGGAUGCAAGCGUUAUCCGGAUUUAUUGGGUUUAAAGGGUGCGUAGGCGGCCUUGUAAGUCAGUGGUGAAAACCUGCAGCUCAACUGUAGGCGUGCCAAUGAAACUGUGAGGCUUGAGUGACGUUGAGGCAGGCGGAAUGUGUAGUGUAGCGGUGAAAUGCUUAGAUAUUACACAGAACACCGAUUGCGUAGGCAGCUUGCUAAAGGUUAACUGACGCUGAUGCACGAAAGCGUGGGGAUCGAACA